AGGGCAUCAAAGGCAGAGAAGGAACAAAGGGGCUUCCCGGCAGCCCAGGACAGAAGGGAAUUCGAGGGCCAGAUGGUCCUAAAGGGAAACCUGGUCGUCCAGGGCCCCGAGGCGUUCCGGGACAGAAAGGUUACCGAGGACCACC